GGCCGUGUGCCCGAGUGGCUCAGGGAUCCGCCUGCAAAGCGGAUUACGCGGGUUCGAUUCCCGCCACGGCCU
rnacentral:tRNA from 1 species